rnacentral:rRNA from 1 species
GAUGAACGCUGGCGGCGUGCCUAAUACAUGCAAGUCGAGCGAACAGACGAGGAGCUUCUCCUCUGACGUUAGCGGCGGACGGGUGAGUAACACGUGGAUAACCUACCUAUAAGACUGGGAUAACUUCGGGAAACCGGAGCUAAUACCGGAUAAUAUAUUGAACCGCAUGGUUCAAUAGUGAAAGACGGUUUUGCUGUCACUUAUAGAUGGAUCCGCGCCGCAUUAGCUAGUUGGUAAGGUAACGGCUUACCAAGGCGACGAUGCGUAGCCGACCUGAGAGGGUGAUCGGCCACACUGGAACUGAGACACGGUCCAGACUCCUACGGGAGGCAGCAGUAGGGAAUCUUCCGCAAUGGGCGAAAGCCUGACGGAGCAACGCCGCGUGAGUGAUGAAGGUCUUCGGAUCGUAAAACUCUGUUAUUAGGGAAGAACAAAUGUGUAAGUAACUAUGCACGUCUUGACGGUACCUAAUCAGAAAGCCACGUCUAACUACGUG